rnacentral:rRNA from 1 species
UGAAAUCUGGCCCCCGGCCCGAGUUGUAAUUUGCAGAGGAUGUUUCUGGCGAGGUGCCUUCCGAGUUCCCUGGAACGGGACGCCAUAGAGGGUGAGAGCCCCGUACGGUUGGUCGCUAAGCCUCUGUGAAACUCCUUCGACGAGUCGAGUAGUUUGGGAAUGCUGCUCUAAAUGGGAGGUACACGUCUUCUAAAGCUAAAUACCGGCCAGAGACCGAUAGCGCACAAGUAGAGUGAUCGAAAGAUGAAAAGCACUUUGAAAAGAGGGUUAAAAAGUACGUGAAAUUGUUGAAAGGGAAGCGCUCAUGACCAGACUUGGGCCGGUUGAUCAUCCAUCGUUCUCGGUGGUGCACUCUGCCGGCUCAGGCCAGCAUCAGUUUGGCCCGGAGGAUAAAGGUUUCGGGAAUGUGGCUCCCCCCGGGGAGUGUUAUAGCCCGUUGCGUAAUACUCUGGGCUGGACUGAGGUACGCGCCUCCGCAAGGAU